GACGAACGCUGGCGGCGUGCCUAAUACAUGCAAGUCGACCUUAGUGGCGAACGGGAGAGUAACACGUGGGUAAACUGCACAUCAGAAGGGGAAAACACUUGGAAAAAGGUGCUAAUAACGUAUACUGAUGGAUGGACCCGCGGUGCAUUAGCUAGUUGGUGAGGUAACGGCUCCCCAAGGCCACUAUGCAUAGGCGACAUGAGAUGCUGAUCGGCCACAUUUGGACUGAGACACGGCCCAAACUCCUACGGGAGGCAGCAGUAGGGAAUCUUAGGCAAUGGACGAAAUUCUGACCGAGCAACGCCGCGUGAGUGAAGAAGGUUUUCGGAUCGUAAAACUCUGUUGUUAGAGAAGCGGUAUCUAACCAGAAAGCCACGGCUAACUACGUGCCAGCAGCCGCGGUAAUAC
rnacentral:rRNA from 1 species